GCGCCGGUGGCAUAAGGCGAACAUCGCUCGGAAAGGAACAUCGGAAAGCAGAAGAUGCGGGUUCGAGUCCCGCCUGGCGCA
rnacentral:tRNA from 1 species